rnacentral:rRNA from 1 species
CAGCAGCCGCGGGAAUACAGAGGGUGCGAGCGUUAAUCGGAUUUACUGGGCGUAAAGCGUGCGUAGGCGGCUUCUUAAGUCGGAUGUGAAAUCCAUGAGCUUAACUUAGGAAUUGCAUUCGAUACUGGGAAGCUAGAGUAUGGGAGAGGAUGGUAGAAUUCCAGGUGUAGCGGUGAAAUGCGUAGAGAUCUGGAGGAAUACCGAUGGCGAAGGCAGCCAUCUGGCCUAAUACUGACGCUGAGGUACGAAAGCAUGGGGAGCAAACAGGAUUAGAUACCCCCGUAGUCCCUGUCUCUUAUAC